rnacentral:rRNA from 1 species
CCUACGGGAGGCAGCAGUAAGGAAUAUUGGUCAAUGGAGGCAACUCUGAACCAGCCAUGCCGCGUGCAGGAAGAAGGCCCUAUGGGUCGUAAACUGCUUUUGUACCAGAGAAAACCACAGUACGUGUACUGUGUUGAUAGUAUGGUAAGAAUAAGCAUCGGCUAACUUCGUGCCAGCAGCCGCGGUAAGACGAAGGAUGCAAGCGUUAUCCGGAUUCAUUGGGUUUAAAGGGUGCGUAGGCGGACUGAUAAGUCAGUGGUGAAAUCUCUCAGCUUAACUGAGAAACUGCCAUUGAUACUGUUAGUCUAGAGUAUAGAUGACGUUGGCGGAAUAUGACAUGUAGUGGUGAAAUACUUAGAUAUGUCAUAGAACACCGAUUGNGAG